rnacentral:rRNA from 1 species
GCUAGUUGUAUUAUUAGUUAAUGCAAGAUCGACUACGUCGACUAAAGUUCUAGGUAGAAUAAUGAUGAUGACAAUUUUUUACCUAUAUGUCUUGACCAAGUCUCGUGCCAGCAGUCGCGGUAAUACGUGGAAGACUAGUGUUAUUCAUCUUUAUUAGGUUUAAAGGGUACCUAGACGGUAUUUCUAGCCCAAAAUAGGGUACGGAUUUACUAGAGUUUUAUGUGAGGAGGGGAGUACUCGUGGAGUAGAGAUGAAAUUUUGUUAUACUAUGAGGUAACUGGUGGCGGCGAAAGCAACCUUCUAUGUAUAAACUGACGUUGAGGGACGAAGGCUUGGGUAGCAAAUAGGAUUAGAUACCCUAGUAGUCCAAGCAGACAAUUCUGAAUGCCAUAGAUUAGAUUUUUUUUGAUCUAUAAAUGAAAGUGUAAGCAUUCCACCUUAGGAGUAAUGUGGCAACACAGGAACUGAAAUCAUUAGACCGUUUCUGAAACCAGUAGUGAAGUAUGUUAUUUAAUUUGAUGGUCCACAAAAAACCUUACCACAACUUGAAUAUUUUUUAAUUAAUACAAGCGUUGCACGGCUGUCUUCAGUUAAUGUCGUGAGAUUUUGGUUAACUCCAUUAAUUAACGUAAACCCUUACUUUAUUUA